rnacentral:lncRNA from 1 species
UUUCUUUUAUUUGCUCGGUUUUCAUUUCUUAUUUUUUCUUCACCGAAUUCCCUUUUUCGUGCUUCUUUUUGAAUCUUCGAGUUAUAAAUUUUUCUCUUUUUAUUUUUUUUCUUUCUUUCUCUCGACUCAUCAUUUUUUCUUUUUUUUGUUCUUGGCACUUUCUUGGGCUUUUGGGAGCUUUUGGGGUUUUUACCCCAAACUUAGCUUUUCAACACGGUUUGAAUGCAUUAACAUGACUCUGAACAGGGUAAGGAAGUUUUUUGGCUAAGGGGUACAUUUAUGGGGUUUUAACAAACAAAUGGAUACAGGCUCAAAUGGGGUUAACGAGGGAUAUACUUAUUCAGGAUGGCUAGAAA